rnacentral:rRNA from 1 species
UACAGGGGGUGCAAACGUUGCUCGGAAUCAUUGGGCGUAAAGCGCACGUAGGCGGUCUGUUAUGUCGGAUGUGAAAGCCCUUGGCUCAACUGAGGAAGUGCAUCCGAAACUGGCAGGCUAGAGUACUAAAGAGGAUCGCGGAAUUCCCGGUGUAGAGGUGAAAUUCGUAGAUAUCGGGAGGAACACCAGUGGCGAAGGCGACUACCUGGCCUGUUCUUGACGCUGAGGCGCGAAAGCUAGGGGAGCAACAGGG